GCAUUUGGGUACUUAAGCCACACUACAGAAAAGCCUGUAAGCUUCUACUUAAAUCCACCUCCAGUUGGGACAGCAGGAAGGCAUGUGACAAAUUCAGAUCCUGGGUUGAACAGCACAAGAUUCUAGAACAGAUCCUUCAAGAAUCCUUGCUGGUAAAACUACGUUUCUUUUGGGAUAUGAAAUUCUUAAGCCUUCAUCCAGAGAGGAUGCAUUGCUUUAAACUUAUGGCUCCGAAUAACCAAAUCACAGAACUACGGCACUGGAAGGGAGCUCAAGAGACCAGCAAAUCCAUUACCCUGAUUCAUGGC
rnacentral:lncRNA from 1 species